CCUACGGGUGGCAGCAGUGAGGAAUAUUGGUCAAUGGCCGAAAGGCUGAACCAGCCAAGUCGCGUGAAGGAUGACGGCCCUAUGGUUUGUAAACUUCUUUUAUAGGGGAAUAAAGGUAUCCACGUGUGGAUAUUUGCAUGUACCCUAUGAAUAAGCAUCGGCUAACUCCGUGCCAGCAGCCGCGGUAAUACGGAGGAUGCGAGCGUUAUCCGGAUUUAUUGGGUUUAAAGGGUGCGUAGGUGGUUUUUUAAGUCAGCGGUGAAAGUUUGUGGCUCAACCAUAAAAUUGCAGUUGAUACUGGAAGUCUUGAGUGUAUUUGAGGUAGGCGGAAUGCGUGGUGUAGCGGUGAAAUGCAUAGAUAUCACGAAGAACCCCGAUUGCGAAGGCAGCUUACUAAGCCAUAACUGACACUGAAGCACGAAAGCGUGGGGAUCAAACAGGAUUAGAUACCCGUGUAGUC
rnacentral:rRNA from 1 species